rnacentral:rRNA from 1 species
UCCGUUAGGGGUGCCUGCGGAGGGAUCAUUACCGAGUUAUACAACUCAUCAACCCUGUGAACAUACCUAAAACGUUGCCUCGGCGGGAACAGACGGCCCCGUAACACGGGCCGCCCCCGCCAGAGGACCCCCUAACUCUGUUUCUAUAAUGUUUCUUCUGAGUAAACAAGCAAAUAAAUUAAAACUUUCAACAACGGAUCUCUUGGCUCUGGCAUCGAUGAAGAACGCAGCGAAAUGCGAUAAGUAAUGUGAAUUGCAGAAUUCAGUGAAUCAUCGAAUCUUUGAACGCACAUUGCGCCCGCCAGUAUUCUGGCGGGCAUGCCUGUUCGAGCGUCAUUACAACCCUCAGGCCCCCGGGCCUGGCGUUGGGGAUCGGCGGAAGCCCCCUGCGGGCACAACGCCGUCCCCCAAAUACAGUGGCGGUCCCGCCGCAGCUUCCAUUGCGUAGUAGCUAACACCUCGCAACUGGAGAGCGGCGCGGCCACGCCGUAAAACACCCAACUUCUGAAUGUUGACCUCGAAUCAGGUAGGAAUACCCGCUGAACUUAAGCAUAUCAAA